GUGGGGAAUUUUGGACAAUGGGCGCAAGCCUGAUCCAGCAAUGUCGCGUGCAGGAAGAAGGCCUUCGGGUUGUAAACUGCUUUUGUACGGAACGAAACGGUCCUGGUUAAUACCUGGGGCUAAUGACGGUACCGUACGAAUAAGCACCGGCUAACUACGUGCCAGCAGCCGCGGUAAUACGUAGGGUGCGAGCGUUAAUCGGAAUUACUGGGCGUAAAGGGUGCGCAGGCGGUGCUGUAAGACAGGCGUGAAAUCCCCGGGCUCAACCUGGGAAUUGCGCUUGUGACUGCAGUGCUGGAGUACGGCAGAGGGGGAUGGAAUUCCGCGUGUAGCAGUGAAAUGCGUAGAUAUGCGGAGGAACACCGAUGGCGAAGGCAGUCCCCUGGGCCUGUACUGACGCUCAUGCACGAAAGCGUGGGGAGCAAACAGGAUUAGACACCCCUGUAGUCC
rnacentral:rRNA from 1 species